GAGCUUGCUCUCUUGGCGGCGAGUGGCGGACGGGUGAGUAAUAUAUCGGAACGUGCCCAGUAGCGGGGGAUAACUACUCGAAAGAGUGGCUAAUACCGCAUACGCCCUACGGGGGAAAGGGGGGGAUCGCAAGACCUCUCACUAUUGGAGCGGCCGAUAUCGGAUUAGCUAGUUGGUGGGGUAAAGGCUCACCAAGGCAACGAUCCGUAGCUGGUUUGAGAGGACGACCAGCCACACUGGGACUGAGACACGGCCCAGACUCCUACGGGAGGCAGCAGUGGGGAAUUUUGGACAAUGGGGGAAACCCUGAUCCAGCCAUCCCGCGUGUAUGAUGAAGGCCUUCGGGUUGUAAAGUACUUUUGGCAGAGAAGAAAAGGUAUCCCCUAAUACGGGAUACUGCUGACGGUAUCUGCAGAAUAAGCACCGGCUAACUACGUGCCAGCAGCCGCGGUAAUACGUAGGGUGCAAGCGUUAAUCGGAAUUACUGGGCGUAAAGCGUGUGUAGGCGGUUCGGAAAGAAAGAUGUGAAAUCCCAGGGCUCAACCUUGGAACUGCAUUUUUAACUGCCGAGCUAGAGUAUGUCAGAGGGGGGUAGAAUUCCACGUGUAGCAGUGAAAUGC
rnacentral:rRNA from 2 species